GGACAUAGCGAUCCCUAUCCUUAAACACCAAAACCGAAGUUUUGUAGAUUUUGAUAGCGAAUUCUUGACCAUCAGUUUUCGUUGCAUGAUAGACAUUAGCUUCUUUUCCAGUAGAAAUGCAGCCAUUAAUGUCAUGAAAAACACCUCGGUUGAGCAUCUUGAAUAAAACCAUUCGAGUUCUAGGAUCAAUUGCCUGUUCAACAGUUGCGCGGUCG
rnacentral:misc_RNA from 1 species